rnacentral:rRNA from 1 species
ACGGGUGAGUAAUACAUCGGAACGUAUCCUGGAGUGGGGGAUAGCCCGGCGAAAGCCGGAUUAAUACCGCAUACGCUCUGAGGAGGAAAGCGGGGGACCUUCGGGCCUCGCGCUCAAGGGGCGGCCGAUGGCGGAUUAGGUAGUUGGUGGGGUAAAGGCCUACCAAGCCGACGAUCCGUAGCUGGUCUGAGAGGACGACCAGCCACACUGGGACUGAGACACGGCCCAGACUCCUACGGGAGGCAGCAGUGGGGAAUUUUGGACAAUGGGGGCAACCCUGAUCCAGCAAUGCCGCGUGUGUGAAGAAGGCCUUCGGGUUGUAAAGCACUUUUGUCCGGAAAGAAAUCAUCGGGGCCAAUACCCCUGGUGGAUGACGGUACCGGAAGAAUAAGCACCGGCUAACUACGUGCCAGCAGCCGCGGUAAUACGUAGGGUGCGAGCGUUAAUCGGAAUUACUGGGCGUAAAGCGUGCGCAGGCGGUGCUGUAAGACCGAUGUGAAAUCCCCGGGCUUAACCUGGGAACUGCAUUGGUGACUGCAGCGCUGGAGUAUGGCAGAGGGGGGGUGGGAAUUCCACGU